GGAAACAUAGAUUAGUUCUCCUUCUAUUCAAGCAGCCCAGCAGAGAGAAAAUCGGAUUUUCUGAUGAAUUAAUCUACACGAGAAAAGACGUAUUUAAUCGAGGGAAUUUUUCAGCCUUGAGGUUUGCUACAAAGUAUGACUUAGGUGACCCCAUAGCUGUCAACUUCUGUGUAUUGGACAUGGAUAUUCUGCCCGAACCAUUUUACUGAAGUAUGCUUCUAUAUUGGAAAGAAGGUGGCCAUCAUUAAUUUAACUGUAAGCUCGGCACGAUAAAAGGAAAUAUGAGAAUAUUAUUAUACAUAUAGUGUUAGUAAUCUGAGCGCAGCUCUUUGGCUCGUAUAUUUGUGCGAUACAAGUCAAACUGACUUAUUACGCGUUUCGCGCAUAUUUUAAUCAAACAGAAUAUCAAGAACAGUGUAGCCUUGGGCCUCCUUACGCGUUUACCUUUUUUACAUCUGAAGUAAACAAAUCUUGAAUGGCCUCAAAUCGUUUGGCAAAAGUCUUCGUAAGUUGAUAAAUGUCAAAAAUUCACCCUAAAAAUGACUUUAGAUAAUGAAUUAUUUUGCUUCUGCAAUGAAAUAUAAGUUUGUAUAUUUAUAAUAUGACUCUAAGUCUUAGCUGAGCUCAAUUUGUUUUCCUUCCUAUCAAUGAAAAUUUAUUUGAAAAAAUAUACUGCUUAAUCGCAGUGACCAACUCAACUAGACAGUUCAUCAGAGAUAUUGCGCAUUGUGUAUUUCUUAGUUAAUUUUUUGGGCGUGUGAUCCAAUAAUUUUAAGUUUUGUCUUUAUCAUAUUGGGCGAAAUUAAAAUAUACAAUUUUUUAAGUGAA